UACAGAGGUCUCAAGCGUUGUUCGGAUUCAUUGGGCGUAAAGGGUGUGUAGGUGGCGCGCUAAGUCGGGUGUGAAAUUUCGGAGCUUAACUCCGAAACUGCAUUCGAUACUGGCGUGCUUGAGGACUGGAGAGGAGACUGGAAUUCAUGGUGUAGCAGUGAAAUGCGUAGAUAUCAGGAGGAAUACCGAUGGCGAAGGCAGGUCUCUGGGCUGACACUGACGCUCAUGCACGAAAGCGUGGGGAGCAAACAGG
rnacentral:rRNA from 1 species